rnacentral:rRNA from 1 species
CCUACGGGUGGCAGCAGUGAGGAAUAUUGGUCAAUGGACGAGAGUCUGAACCAGCCAAGUAGCGUGAAGGAUGACUGCCCUAUGGGUUGUAAACUUCUUUUAUGUGGGAAUAAACUGUUACACGUGUGGGAUUUUGUAUGUACCCUAUUAAUAAGGAUCGGCUAACUCCGUGCCAGCAGCCGCGGUAAUACGGAGGAUCCGAGCGUUAUCCGGAUGUAUUGGGUUUAAAGGGAGCGUAGGUGGAUUGUUAAGUCAGUUGUGAAAGUUUGCGGCUCAACCGUAAAAUUGCAGUUGAAACUGGUAGUCUUGAGUACAGUAGAGGUGGGCGGAAUUCGUGGUGUAGCGGUGAAAUGCUUAGAUAUCACGAAGAACUCCGAGUGCGAAGGCAGCUUACUGGACUGCAACUGACACUGAGGCUCGAAAGUGUGGGUAUCAAACAGGAUUAGAUACCCGAGUAGUC